rnacentral:rRNA from 1 species
UACAGAGGUCUCAACCGUUGUUCGGAUUCAUUGGGCGUAAAGGGUGCGUAGGUGGCGCCGUAAGUCAGGUGUGAAAUUUCGGAGCUUAACUCCGAAACUGCAUUUGAUACUGCGGUGCUUGAGGACUGGAGAGGAGACUGGAAUUCACGGUGUAGCAGUGAAAUGCGUAGAUAUCGUGAGGAAGACCAGUGGCGAAGGCGGGUCUCUGGACAGUUCCUGACACUGAGGCACGAAGGCCAGGGGAGCAAACGGGG